rfam:Ictidomys tridecemlineatus contig034666, whole genome shotgun sequence.
UGUGUUGUAGCUCAGUGUAGAGUGCUUGCCUAGCAUGUGUGAGGCACUGGGUUCAAUUCUCAGCAUCAUAU